UAGUGUACCAUUUUGUGUUUUAGCUGACC
rnacentral:piRNA from 1 species